rnacentral:rRNA from 1 species
UGGGGGAUAUUGCACAAUGGGCGCAAGCCUGAUGCAGCGACGCCGCGUGGGGGAUGAAGGCCUUCGGGUUGUAAACUUCUUUUGCUCUGAACAAGGCGCACUUUGGGGUGUGUUGAGUGUAGGGGUUGAUUAGCGCCGGCUAACUACGUGCCAGCAGCCGCGGUAAUACGUAGGGCGCGAGCGUUGUCCGGAAUUAUUGGGCGUAAAGGGCUUGUAGGUGGCUGGUUGCGUCUGUCGUGAAAGCUCAUGGCUUAACUGUGGGUUUGCGGUGGGUACGGGCUGGCUUGAGUGCAGUAGGGGAGGCUGGAAUUCCUGGUGUAGCGGUGGAAUGCGCAGAUGUCAGGAGGAAUACCGGUGGCGAAGGCGGGUCUCUGGGCUGUUACUGACACUGAGGAGCGAAAGCAUGGGGAGCGAACAGG